rnacentral:rRNA from 1 species
AUUGAACGCUGGCGGCAGGCCUAACACAUGCAAGUCGAACGAGUGGCGGACGGGUGAGUCAUGUCUGGGAAACUGCCCGCUGGAGGGGGAUAACUAAUGGAAACGGUAGCUAAUACCGCAUACAAUCGGAUGUGCCCCGAUGGGAUUAGCUUGUAGGUGAGGUAAAGGCUCACCUAGGCGACGAUCCCUAGCUGGUCUGAGAGGAUGACGAGCCACAUGGGAACGGAGACACGGUCCAGACUCCUCCGGGAGGCAGCAGGGGGGAAUAUGGCACAAUGGGCGCGAGCAUGAGGCAGCCAGGCCGCGUGUAUGAAGAAGGCCUUCGGGUUGUAAAGUACUUGCAGCGGGGAGGCGUUACCCGCAGAAGAAGCACCGGCUAACUCCGUGCCAGCAGCCGCGGUAAUUC